GAAAUGCGAUACGUAAUGUGAAUUGCAGAAUUCAGUGAAUCAUCGAAUCUUUGAACGCAUAUUGCGCUCUUUGGUAUUCCGAAGAGCAUGCUUGUUUGAGUAUCAGUAAACACCUCAACUCUAUUUCUUUUUGAAAUGGAGCUGGACUUGAGUGAUCCCAACGCUUUUUUCAAAAGUGGCGGGUUACUUGAAAUGCAGGUGCAGCUGGACUUUUCUCUGAGCUAAAAGCAUAUCUAUUUAGUCUGCCUAAAAACAGAUUAUUACCUUUGCUGCAGCUAACAUAAAGGAGAUUAGUUCUUGUGCUGACUGAUGCAGGAUUCACAGAGACAGCUUCGGCCGUCUUUGUAAACUCGAUCUCAAAUCAAGUAAGACUACCCGCUGAACUUAA
rnacentral:misc_RNA from 1 species